AUGGCUCUCCUCCCCCAAAUCCUCCCCUCCCCGCGCCCCCAUCCCCACCUCGCCGCCUCCCGCUACCCUUUCUCCCCCGCCCACGCAUUCCGCACAGCGCCUCGCCUCCACGCCUCUGGCCACCGCCGCCGAGGCCGCCUCGCCGCGUCAGGGCCCGGGUCGUCGCCGUCGCCGUCGCCCGACCAGUACCCGUCCGAGCCCGACGAUGGCCUUGUGGAGCUCCCUCUGUUCCCUCUCCCACUCGUCCUCUUCCCGGACGCGACCCACGCGCUGCACAUCUUCGAGUUCCGCUACCGUAUCAUGAUGCACACCGUGCUCGACACCGACCUCCGCUUCGGCGUCGUCUUCGCCGGCUCCGACGGCGCCUCCGACGUCGGCUGCGUCGGGGAGGUCGUCAAGCACGAGCGCCUCGCUGACGACCGCUUCUUCCUCAUCUGCAAGGGCCAGGAGCGGUUCCGCGUCGCUCGCAUCGUCCGCAACAAGCCUUACCUCGUCGCCGCCGUGCAGUGGCUCGAGGACCGCCCGCCUGCGGAGACGCCGGCCCCUGGGGAGGACGCCGAGGCGCUCGCCGUCGAGGUCGAGGCGCUCAUGCGCGACGUCAUACGCAUCGCCAACCGCCUCAACGGCAAGCCCGAGAAGGAGGUCGGGGACCUGCGCCGGGGGCUCUUCCCCACCCCAUUCUCCUUCUACGUGGGCAACACCUUCGAGGGCGCGCCCAGGGAGCAGCAGGCGCUGCUCGAGCUUGAGGACACCGCCGCGCGGCUGAGACGGGAGCGGGACACGCUCCGCAACACUCUCAACUACCUUACCGCCGCGUCUGCCGUCAAGGACGUCUUCCCCUCGUCGCCGUCGUCGGGGUGA
rnacentral:rRNA from 1 species